GACGAACCGUGCGAAUGUUGUUCGGAAUCACUGGGCUUAAAGGGUGCGUAGGCGGGCGAUCAAGUCAGGGGUGAAAUCCUCCAGCUUAACUGGAGAACUGCCUUUGAUACUGGUCAUCUUGAGUAAGGUAGGGGCGUGCGGAACUGAUGGUGGAGCGGUGAAAUGUGUUGAUAUCAUCAGGAACUCCGGUGGCGAAAGCGGCGCGCUGGACCUUUACUGACGCUGAGGCACGAAAGCUAGGGGAGCGAACGGG
rnacentral:rRNA from 1 species